ensembl:snRNA U2 U2 spliceosomal RNA
UCGGCUUCUCGGCCUUUUGGCUAAGAUCAAGUGUAGUAUCUGUUCUUAUCAGUUUAAUAUCUGAUAUGUCCUCUAUUUGAGGACUAUAUAUUAAAAAAAUGGUUAUUCUUA